rnacentral:rRNA from 1 species
UAGGGAAUUUUCCGCAAUGGGCGAAAGCCUGACGGAGCAACGCCGCGUGAGUGAGGACGGCCUUCGGGUUGUAAAACUCUGUUCUUGAGGAAGAAUUCCUUCCAGGCGAACAGCCUGGGAGGUUGACGGUACUCAAGGAGAAAGCCCCGGCUAACUACGUGCCAGCAGCCGCGGUAAUACGUAGGGGGCGAGCGUUAUCCGGAAUUAUUGGGCGUAAAGCGCGCGCAGGCGGCCGGUUAAGUCAGGUGUGAAAGGCUGCGGCUCAACCGCAGAGCGGCACCUGAAACUGGUCGGCUUGAGUGCAGGAGAGGGGAGCGGAAUUCCCGGUGUAGCGGUGGAAUGCGUAGAGAUCGGGAGGAACACCAGUGGCGAAGGCGGCUCUCUGGCCUGUAACUGACGCUGAGGCGCGAAAGCGUGGGGAGCAAACA